UCACAAGUCUCGGUUAUAUUGUGUUUUUUGUUGAUAAAUUCAGGUGGAUCAAAUGAAGUUAACGGUGUUGCUUGCGCUCUUUGUUUGUCAUAAGCAAAUAUGCUCUGCACAGACAGAAAUCGACUUCAAUCAAAUUAGUCUAUUUAAAAAGCAAGAGCUCCGUGAACAACUUCGUGGAGUCAGUGAGCAAUUUCUGGAGGAUUAUGUGUCCAUAGCUAAAAAAUAUUACCACGAUUAUUAUGUUAAGGAAAUGGUAUCAGAAGGUUUAGUACAAAAAUUGUGUAAAUUCGUUUAUGAGCGAAAAAUUUCGAAAAUCGGUGUAAACACCGUGAAAAACUAUCAUGCA